AAAAUAAUUCCAAACCAAUCAGGAGUAUAAGUUUAAUUAUUGUUAGGCUGGGUUUCAUAAUAGUUACAGAAAUGAAAAUGUGUGGUCUAGUGUCUCCUCAGAGUGCAGGAUAAUGGUUGCUAGGCAGCCUCCUGUUUACAGAGAAAAGAAUUUCUUUAUCUGCAGAUGUCAACAGUGCCUCAUCCUCUUUAUUUCCACCAGAAUUUAUAUGGUGGGCCAGGGCUUGGUGAGCGGUGGUAAUUUCCUGUGCAGUAUAUACUGCCCUACUUGUGAGGAGCAUAUUGCUGUUCAAGGGUCAACAUGCAAACACAUGGGGGCAUUACUGAAACCAAUGGAUGUUACCUGGAGAAGCCAGCCUGAAAAUAUCUGGUGCAGUGGCGUUAUGAGGAGUCUUUCAUGGAGCAUGGACUACUCAUCAUCUGUGAAGCCCAGGGCAAGUUCCUUCCAUGUGAUACUUCCACAUCCUGAGUUCAAUAUGUGAAAGACCAGCAUAAACAAAGACCCUCCAGAUUUCUUGUUUCAGCUCCAACAUUAAAAAACUUGGAUUUUGUCACUUUUGCACUUAUUCAAUGUCUAACUCUGAAAAAGGUAAAAAAGAAAAAAAAAAACACAUUUCUUCAGUCCAUCAGCAAACUAAGUCACAGCUGAACCUGCAGAGACAGGGAAUCCAGAGAAUCACAGAUGAGCUCACCUCCCCUGGAGCAGAAGCUGCUAGACCAUAAACUUAUAAGAACACUUAAAUGGCAAUUUUCCUGAAUUUCUGGAGAUUCAGUGUAGACUAGCAUGAGAGUAAGAAACUCCUGGAUGUCCCAGUCUUAGGUAGGUCCCCCUGGUUUCUUGGAUUUUUAUUUCUAGAAACUUUAGGCUGACCUCACAAUGAAGAGCCAGUAAGAUUCUCUGAUGGCCCAGCAGGGGAGGGAAGAGUAAGCAACGUGAAAUUUCUCAGUGUUUUAUAUAACAUAAGCCUGUUCUGGGCGGGAGAAGCUUCUACCUGAGCUUUACCGCAUCUGGAGGAAGGAUAUUUCAUUAUUUUUAUCCCUCUAGCUUUCUUGUACUACAUAAGUGGGGUGAGGGGUGGGGGCAAGGGAAGUGGAAAAGCAUUUGUGAAGCUCACAGCGCAGGGACAGAGGCCCACUUACAGACCAGACUUAAGAAUAAGAUUAUGGAAUGUUCAUCUCCUCCAUACUUUAUCACCACACCCACAUGGCACAAGUAUAACAGAAAAUUACAGUUGAAAGAGCCUCAAGACACGGACUCUAACUCAUGAAGAGUUUUUAAGGAAGUCCAAAGAUAAUGCAGGAGACAUAAAUAGAGAUACUAGAGCAAGUCAGACCUGUGGCACCCACAGCUACAGGAAACAUUGAACACAGCCCUGCCAGAGCCAGGGUGACCUAGACAUCUCGAUGAAGAUCCUGUGCCUCUGUUUCUAGUACGUGAUGACUCAUGUCCAUCUUUCAACAAAAAUUACAAAGCACAUAAAAGGCAGGGAAAAACACAGUAUGAAGAGGCAAGCAAGCAUCUGAAUCAGACAGAUAUGAUACAGUUUUUGAAAUAAUAAGACAUAAUUGACAAUAAUCAUGUUUAAUAUUUUAAAGGCUCUAUUGGGAAAAGUAGAUAACAUGCAAGAAUAAAUGGAUAAUGUAAUGAGAGAAAAAGAGACUC
rnacentral:lncRNA from 1 species